rnacentral:lncRNA from 1 species
AUAAUAGUAACAACAAAAAAAAUAACGGAAGCUGGAAAAAUAACGGAAGCUGGAAAAAUAACGGCAGCUGGAAAAAUAACGGCAGCUGGAAAAAUAACGGCAGCUGGGAAAAUAACAGCAGCUGGGAAAAUAACAGCAGCUUGGAAAAUAACAGCAGCUUGGAAAAUAACAGCAGCUGGAAAAAUAACAGCAGUUGGAAAAAUAACAGCAGCUGGAAAAAUAACAGCAGCUGGAAAAAUAAACAGAUGUGUCGACGAUGCAUUUCAUAUAAAAAAUCAACUAUGAAAGGAAAAACAGAAGGUAAUGGUAAAAUGUACAUACCAGAUAUGUUCUACGAAUUUAAUGAUAGUAUAUCUAUAAAUUAUAAUGAUAAUAUUUUUACAUUUAAAGCAAAAAAUGAUAAGUGUUUUAAAAUAAAGCGUUUCUUUUCAUGUUCUAAGAGUAUUAAAUUUAUUUUAGGAAAAUUAAAAUCUUAUAAUAAUAAAUUAAAAUGCAUAAAGAUAGAUUCGUAUAAGUACAAUGAAGUAAUAAAUACUGCUACUUGGAAACACAAUGAUCAGACUGAUAAAUUAAAAUAUGCUUCAAAAAUUAAAAAAUUUAAUGAAUGGUAUAAUAUUUGGGUGAAAGAUCUUUUAUUUAAUUACUACAAAAAAACAAGUAUAUUAAUUUUACUAUUACUAAUUUUAAAUGUAUUAAAUAUAUUUUUACAAACAAUAUCAUUUUAUUUUUUACUAAAAACAGCAGAUUUGACCAAAAUAAUACAAAGCAAACCUAAUCCAAAUACAAGAAAACAAAUACUAAAUGCAGCGUAUGAUAUUAACAAUAUGAUUAAUUCUACAAACCUAUAUAAAUACAUAGUUUUAAGAAUACCUAUACAACUUAUUUUAAAUAUACUAUUGGUACUACCAUCUAUAAUAAUUAAAAAGUGUAAACAUUUAUAUUUAUUUCACAUAUGUAGUAUUUUAAAUUGUUUAGUAAACGCAUUUUUUGGUAGUAUAGACAUUUAUUACACCUUGAAUUCAAAAAUAUUUUACAGAAGUAACGUAGAUAGUGUAUUAGUUCAUUACAACAUGAUAGACAUAUUUUACAUUGGGAAAAUAAUUACAAGUAUAUUUAUAAUCCCAUUUAUUACCAAUUUUGAUCAGAUGAAAACGUUUAUAUUAGUAUGUUUAAGUUCUAUUUGUUAUACAAUAAUAGCAUAUGAACAAAUUGUUGUCCGUUCGUUUGUAGUUUAUUUUACUGUGAAUUCAUUAAUUGCUUGCGUUGUCAUUAUUUGUGUAUUAACGGUCAAAUACUCAAAGUUGUUGACACAAUUAAGAAAACUUUUAUUUAUCAAAUAUGUUUUACCAUACUAUACGUAUUUGACAUUAAUUAAAACAAACCCUGUUAUAAAUAUGACAAUUAACAAAAACAGUACCCUAUCACAUAAAAACAGCCAUGGUAGCUAUAUUUAAAUAAAAUUUUGUACAUUACAUUUGCAACCGCACUAAAUGAAUUAACAAACUCACAUGGGGAAAUAUAUUUGUUUUUAUACUUUUUUUUUAAUAUAUACACUUUUGACGCUAUUUUUUAACAUAUACAUAAGAUGAUGCAUUUUGAUAUUUGUUAUUUGUCCUUAUUUGCUACUUGUCCUUAUUUGCUACUUGUCCUUAUUUGCUGCUUGUCCUUACUUGCUGCUUGUCCUUACUUGCUGCUUGUCCUUACUUGCUGCUUGUCCUUACUUGCUACUUGUUUGUUAAUUAUUUUCAUGCUUUCUUAUUUUUUAUUCGCUCCUAUUUGUUCCUACGUACUCUUAUUCUUAUUUGUUAUAUGUUUUUAUCCGUUCCCAUUUGUUAUUUGUUAUUUGUUAUUCGUUUUUUUUUUUUUUUUUUU